rnacentral:rRNA from 1 species
UGGUCCCUACGGGGCGCAGCAGUGGGGAAUAUUGCACAAUGGGGGGAACCCUGAUGCAGCGACGCCGCGUGAAGGAAGAAGUAUUUCGGUAUGUAAACUCCUAUCAGCAGGGAAGAAAAAGGACGGUACCUGACUAAGAAGCCCCGGCUAACUACGUGCCAGCAGCCGCGGUAAUACGUAGGGGGCGUGCGUUAUCUGGAUUUACUGGGUGUAAAGGGGGCGCAGACGGCCAUGGCAAGCCCGGUGUGAAAGGUGCGGGCACAACCCGCAGACUGCACUGGUAAC